GCAGUCGUGCCGAGUGUUAAGGCGAUGGACUAGAAAUACACUGGGGUCUCACGCACAGGUUCGAAUCCUGUCGACUGCG
rnacentral:tRNA from 1 species